rnacentral:rRNA from 1 species
AUGGCGCACCUGAGGCUCCUCCGGUCCGCCGUCGGGCGGCUCAGGACGGCGGCGCCCGCCGGCCGCGCAGCUUUCUCCAGCGCGGCAGCGACGACGGAGGCCAAGGCGACCGUCCGCGAGGGGGUGAUCGCCGCCGCCGCCGCGGCCGUCGCCGGGUCCGGGCUGGGGCUCUGGCUCAUGCCGCCGGCGCUCGCGGACUCCGGCGAGCUGGCCCGCGCCGCCGCGGCCGGGCAGAUCUCGGCUGCCGCAGCGGGCGCCGGCGCCGUCGAGGAGCGGCACGAGAAGCGGCCGAGGUUCCUGCUCGCAGACUCCUACCGCCGAAGGGUGUUCUUCAACUACGAGAAAAGGAUACGGCUUCGCAGCCCUCCUGAAAAGAUUUUUGAGUAUUUCGCGUCUGUGCGAAAACCGGAUGGGGAAAUGUUCAUGUUGCCUGCCGACUUGAUGAGAGCGGUGGUCCCUGUUUUCCCUCCAUCAGAGUCGAACGUCGUGCGGGAAGGGAGGCUAAGGGGGGAACCCAGCCCCGGAGAGCUGCACUGUGCUCCAUCCAAAUUCUUUGUCCUGUUUGACACAAACACCGAUGGUCUCAUCUCGUUUGCCGAGUACAUCUUUUUUGUUACAUUACUCAGCAUUCCUGAGUCAAGCUUCAGUGCGGCCUUCAAAAUGUUUGACGUCGAUCUCAGUGGGGAGAUAGACAAAGAAGAGUUCAAGAAAGUAAUGGCAUUGAUGCGGUCCUAUAACAGACAAGGAGCUGCCCAUAGGCAUGGCUUACGUACAGGAUUUAAAGUUGGCCAGUCUGUGGAAAAUGGUGGGGUUGUUGAGUAUUUCUUUGGUAAUGAUGGGAAUGAACCUCUACACUUUGAUAAAUUCACAAGUUUUUUGAAGGAAUUGCAUGAAGAGAUUAUUCGUCUGGAAUUCAGUCAUUAUGAUGUCAAGUCGACAAACACUAUCCCUGCAAAGGAUUUUGCACUGUCCAUGGUGGCUUCUGCUGACAUGAAUCACAUUAGCAAGCUACUUGAUAGAGCUGAUAUGUUGGGCAAUGACCCUUACCUCAAGGACUUGCGCAUUACCUUUGAGGAGUUCAAGGCAUUUGGUGAUUUACGUCGAAGAUUGGAAUCAUUGACGAUGGCUAUAUUUGCUUAUGGUCAAGUAAAUGGGCUGUUGACAAAGCAGGAUCUGAAGCGUGCAGCACAUCAUGUCUGUGGUGUUGAAUUAACCGACAGAGUGGUGGACAUCAUUUUCCAUGUGUUUGACAUGAACAAUGAUGGGCACCUGAGCUCAGAGGAGUUCCUGAGAGCACUACAAAGACGAGAAGCCGAUAUUCAUCAGCCAGCGGCGCGAGGAGGUCCCAUGGGCUGGCUGAACCCUAAAAACCGUUCUUCGCUCCUGCAGAUGCUGCGCUAG